rnacentral:rRNA from 1 species
AGUGAACGCUGGCGGUAGGCCUAACACAUGCAAGUCGAACGGCAGCACAGUAAGAGCUUGCUCUUACGGGUGGCGAGUGGCGGACGGGUGAGGAAUACAUCGGAAUCUACUUUUUCGUGGGGGAUAACGUAGGGAAACUUACGCUAAUACCGCAUACGACCUACGGGUGAAAGCAGGGGAUCUUCGGACCUUGCGCGAUUGAAUGAGCCGAUGUCGGAUUAGCUAGUUGGCGGGGUAAAGGCCCACCAAGGCGACGAUCCGUAGCUGAUCUGAGAGGAUGAUCAGCCACACUGGAACUGAGACACGGUCCAGACUCCUACGGGAGGCAGCAGUGGGGAAUAUUGGACAAUGGGCGCAAGCCUGAUCCAGCCAUACCGCGUGGGUGAAGAAGGCCUUCGGGUUGUAAAGCCCUUUUGUUGGGAAAGAAAAGCAGCAGGUUAAUACCCCGCUGUUCUGACGGUACCCAAAGAAUAAGCACCGGCUAACUUCGU